rnacentral:rRNA from 1 species
UACGGAGGGAGCUAGCGUUGUUCGGAAAUACUGGGCGUAAAGCGCACGUAGGCGGCGCAGCAAGUCAGGGGUGAAAUCCCGGGGCUCAACCCCGGAACUGCCUCUGAAACUGCAGUGCUAGAAUCUUGGAGAGGCGAGUGGAAUUCCGAGUGUAGAGGUGAAAUUCAUAGAUAUUCGGAAGAACACCAGUGGCGAAGGCGACUCGCUGGACAAGUAUUGACGCUGAGGUGCGAAAGCGUGGGGAGCAAACAGGG